UCCAGACAUGACAGUCACGAUCUUUUUUUGGCACACAUCUACGGUCCUCCGUGAAACUGGCACCAAUGGUGAUAAAUUGGUUGCACUGCUGAGUUCCCAUCAUCAUAUUCAUAAUGCAAAUGUCAAACCGUGAGAACUCUUUCGAUUCGUUAACUUAUAGGUAAACAUUGAGAUUUUAUAUUUUAUUUCAAUUAUUUAAAGUUCGUCUUGCGUUUAUUUACAUUAACCACAAGCGGACGAUUUACAUCCGAUGCGCAUUAUAGCAGUUAAAUGAAACGCUGAAGAACAUCGGAAGGCUCAGGAUUCAACUUCCAGGUUUGUGACAUUCUGCCAUGUACCACGAAAAAGUCAGAGCAGAUUACAUAAAUUAUGUGGAAAAUGUAAAUCAAUGGUACGAAUAUUUCAAAGAAAUAAGCAAACCUCGUUCUUAUGAAAUGCUUCUGGAAUGGAAAACCGUAGCUUAUGUUUUUCGGUCAAUUGUUCAACUUUUCGAUCCAUAUAAUUGUUGCAAGAGCAGACUUUGACUUCAGAACUUGAUUCGAGUGCGACGUAAGGAGAGACAUUAAAAUGUCAGCAUGGUAGGCAUUCUAGUGCCUAGCUGCCUCAUGCAACAAGGGACACGCCUCAAAUGAUACAACUGUGUCCGCCUGAAUUUCGUUCUAAUAUGUUUAUUUGUUUAUUUAUUUCGUCAAGCAAAUGUAGACUACAUAUAAAUUGUUUACAAUGUUCACUUACAUACUACACAUUAUUUCUACGACAAAGCUUAGAUUUGAUUUGAUUUUUUGACAUAGUAAGGUCAAGAUGUUCGCAGUAUUGAUUGUAAUGGCGCAUUAUUCGAUUGACUGGACUGUAUUUUGCAUAAUUUGUUCUAGCUUGUUUUUCUAAAAAUAAUUUCCUGGAACGUAGUUGGCGGCUAGGUAUAUAAAAAUUUAAUUGCGAUAAUAAUGGAGCUGAUUGAAUGCGUUGAGAAAUAAUGUCGCUGAUAAAAUAAAGCAUUGCAAAGUCGCGGCGUUCUUUAAGUGUUUGUAUAUUGAUAAGCAUGCAGCGUGCUUCAUAUGAUGGUAGAGGAAAUGCUGUCCAGUUUAAUUUACGAAGUGCAUAUAAAAGAAAUUGUUUUUGAAUAGAUUCGAUGCGUUCUUCGUGAAUAAUAUUGUAUGGAUUCCAUACUAGGCUGCAAUAUUCCAAAAUAGGUCUGACAUAUGUAGUGUAUAAUAAUUUAAUUGUGUAUGGAUCCUGAAAGUUAUGACUGAAGCGUUUAAUAAAGCCCAGCAUGCUAUUAGCUUUAUUGAUUAUGGUAUUGUAGUGUUCCACAAAAGUGAGCUUGGAGUCUAAGAUUACGCCUAAAUCUCUUACAAUUUUACAUUUUUCUACAAGUUGAUUUCCUAGAUGUAUGUUUAUAGGUAUAGUUUCAUUUUUCCUACUGAAAGUUAUUGAGUUACAUUUUUUUACAUUGAGUGGAGUAGACUUUUGCAGCACCAAAUGUGGAAUAGAUUGAUUUCGUUCUGGAAUAUUACAGCGUCGUUGAUAUUUUUAAUUUCCAUGAAGAGUUUCAUGUCGUCUGCAUAUAUAAGCACUUUCAGAUUUUUUAGUAUGAAGGAAAUGUCGUUUAUAUGUAAAAUGAAAAGGAGAGGCCCUAAGUGAGAACCCUGAGGUACGCCAGAAGUUACAUUAAUUGGUUCAGACAGUAUGUUUUGGAAGCGGACUACCUGUACACGAUUCGUUAAGUAUGAUUUGAGCCAUUCAAGAAGAGUAUGUUUUAUGCCAUAUUUUUGUAGUUUGUGUAGAAGUAAAGGUAUGUCAAUACGGUCGAAGGCUUUACUAAAGUCAGUGUAAAGAGUUUCUACGUAGUUGCCAGCGUCCAUUGCAUUCAGUGUGAAUGUCAUAAAUUCUAAGAGAUUUGUUGUAGUUGAGCGGCCUUUAAAAAAGCCAUG